rnacentral:pre_miRNA from 1 species
CCUUACUUGUGUAUAGAUGGCAUUCAGCACCAAGGACAGGUUAACCUGUGGGUGGAUGAUGUUCAGCACCAAGGACAGGUUAACCU